rnacentral:rRNA from 1 species
AACGGCGAGUGAAGCGGCAAAAGCUCAAAUUUGAAAUCUGGCUCCUUAGGGGUCCGAGUUGUAAUUUGUAGAGGAUGCUUCGGGUGCGGCCACGGUCUAAGUUCCUUGGAACAGGACGUCAUAGAGGGUGAGAAUCCCGUCUUGGGCCGUUGGUCCACGCCCGUGUGAAGCUCCUUCGACGAGUCGAGUUGUUUGGGAAUGCAGCUCUAAGCGGGUGGUAAAUUUCAUCUAAAGCUAAAUAUUGGCCGGAGACCGAUAGCGCACAAGUAGAGUGAUCGAAAGGUUAAAAGCACCUUGAAAAGGGAGUUAAACAGCACGUGAAAUUGUUGAAAGGGAAGCGCUUGCGGCCAGACUCGGGCGCGGGGUUCAGCGGGUGCGCGUCACCCGUGCACUCCCCGCCGCCCGGGCCAGCAUCAGUUCUGACGACCGGUCAAAGGCCCCCGGAAUGUGUCGUCUCUCGGGACGUCUUAUAGCCGGGGGUGCAAUGCGGCCCGUCGGGACUGAGGAACGCGCUUCGGCUCGGAUGCUGGCGUAAUGGCCGUAAGCGGCCCGUCUUGAAACACGGACCAAGGAGUCUAACAUCCACGCGAGUGUUCGGGUGUCAAACCCGUGCGCGCAGUGAAAGCGAACGGAGGUGGGAGCCUUAGGGCGCACCAUCGACCGAUCCUGAAGUCUUCGGAUGGAUUUGAGUAGGAGCGUGGCCGUUGGGACCCGAAAGAUGGUGAACUAUGCCUGAAUAGGGUGAAGCCAGAGGAAACUCUGGUGGAGGCUCGCAGCGGUUCUGACGUGCAAAUCGAUCGUCAAAUUU